UGGGGAAUAUUGCACAAUGGAGGGAACUCUGAUGCAGCGACGCCGCGUGAACGAAGAAGGCUUUCGAGUCGUAAAGUUCUUUUAUAUGGGAAGAUAAUGACGGUACCAUAAGAAAAAGCCCCGGCUAACUACGUGCCAGCAGCCGCGGUAAUACGUAGGUGGCAAGCGUUGUCCGGAUUUAUUGGGCGUAAAGGGGGCGCAGGCUGCUUCUUAAGUCUGAUGUGAAAGCCCACGGCUUAACCGUGGAAGUGCAUUGGAAACUGGGAAGCUUGAGUACAGAAGAGGAAAGUGGAACUCCAUGUGUAGCGGUGGAAUGCGUAGAUAUAUGGAAGAACACCAGUGGCGAAAGCGACUUUCUGGUCUGUCACUGACGCUGAGGCCCGAAAGCGUGGGUAGCAAACAGG
rnacentral:rRNA from 1 species